rnacentral:rRNA from 1 species
GAGAAGAUAGUGGCGAACGGGUGAGUAACACGUGGGUAACCUGCCCAUAAGAGGGGGAUAACAUCCGGAAACGGGUGCCUAAUACCGCAUAGUUUCUUGAUCGCAUGGAUCGGGAAAGGAAAGACGGCCUUUGUGCUGUCGCUUAUGGAUGGACCCGCGGCGUAUUAGUUAGUUGGUGAGGUAACGGCUCACCAAGACGAUGAUACGUAGCCGACCUGAGAGGGUGAUCGGCCACAUUGGGACUGAGACACGGCCCAAACUCCUACGGGAGGCAGCAGUAGGGAAUCUUCCGCAAUGGACGAAAGUCUGACGGAGCAACGCCGCGUGAGUGAAGAAAGGUUUUCGGAUCGUAAAACUCUGUUGUCAGAGAAGAACAAGUUGGAGAGUAACUGCUCCAGCCUUGACGGUAUCUGACCAGAAAGCCACGGCUAACUACGUGCCAGCCGCGGC